ACAAACAAACGUCCAUUAUCUAGUUCCGAAGAAAUAUUCGGCUCCUUGCGUGUACUACAUGUACUUUAGCUAUAAUCUAAGGUUUCACUUUUCCAUUUUCCUAGCCUUUUUGUCUUCGUCUUAUCUGAUCGCCUUUCCGCAUUGUUUCACCCUUCGGCAUUGUGCAAAACAACAAAACUAUUAAGUGUCACAUUUAGGCUUAUAUUACUUUUGAUGAACUUCAUAUGUAUCGGAGAGAGGGGGGAUACUCCCACAUAUACGGUAUACAUUCUACGGGAUUGGAGCCUGUGAUCUGCCAUUUCAAAUCUCACAACUCAAAGUUAAGUAUCCUCUUAUCAACGUUAACGCUAUGUAUAUUUAUAUGACCAAUUAAUUAUUUUUUUAAUGUCUUAAGGUCAAGGUUUUGGCAAAAUAACCCGGCCCCUUCCUUCUUGAUAUACAGAUCAACAAAUAGCUUUUAAUCUGAAGUUCCUGUUAUUAUUAUUUUUUUGAUACACAACGAAGAGAGUUGAAUCCUUCAAGAAGCUUGACCACAAGAAAGGAACUCUCAAAGCUAAAAACAACGAAAGCCACCGGGCUUGACGAGAUCCUUGCAAGACUUCUGGAAGAUGCAGCUACCGUUAUUGCCAAGCCGAUCGCAUCAAUUGUUCUGCAAGAACUAAACACUAGCUUUGUUUCACAGGAUCUCAAAGCUCAAAACAACGAAAGCCACCGGGCUUGACGAGAUCCCUGCAAGACUUCUGGAAGAUGCAGCUACUGUUAUUGCCAAGCCAAUUGCAUCCAUGAUAAAUCAGACGUUCCUAACAUGGAAAAUUCCAUCUCAGUGGAAGGAGGCCAAAGUCACGCCAAUUUACAAGUCUGGUGCAAUAUGGAUGAUGACAAUAAUUAUCGUCCCAUCUCAGUCCUACCUAUUAUCUCCAAGGUCAUGGAACGCGCAGUACAAGUUCAACUGCUGCAAUUUCUAAAGGAUAAUGAUGUCCACUCAACAUUCCAGUCAGGUUUCCGAAAAAAGCAUUAGUCUACUUUCACAUCCCCAUAAUACUUUGCGUCUUUGGGGGGUAACCAGAGGGUAAAAGCCCGCUUAUUUUGCUGAAGGCUGAUCAGAMAAUGUUGAAAAUACCUUGUUAGGUAUCCAAAGAUAAA